rnacentral:tRNA from 1 species
UAAAAAUGAAGCAAAAUUUGCUAUCAGUUUCGACCUGAUCUUAGGAGUCCCCGUUUUUAU